rnacentral:rRNA from 1 species
AGUCGCACGAGAAAGUGGAGCAAUCCAUGAGUACAGUGGCGUACGGGUGAGUAACACGUGGAUCAUCUACCUCUUAGUGGGGAAACAACCCUGGGAAACCGGGGCUAAUACCGCAUAAGCUCGAGAGAGGAAAGCAGCAAUGCGCUGAGAGAGGAGUCCGCGGCCGAUUAGCUAGUUGGCAGGGUAAAUGCCUACCAAGGCAAAGAUCGGUAGCCGGCCUGAGAGGGCACACGGCCACACUGGCACUGAAACACGGGCCAGGAUCCUACGGGAGGCAGCAGUGGGGAAACCUUGCACAAUGGGGGAAACCCUGAUGCAGCGACGCCGCGUGAGCGAUGAAGCCCUUCGGGGUGUAAAGCUCUUUCGGCAGGGAAGAUCAUGACGGUACCUGCAGAAGCAGCUGCGGCUAACUACGUGCCAGCAGCCGCGGUAAUACGUAGGCAGCGAGCGUUGUUCGGAGUUACUGGGCGUAAAGGGUGUGUAGGCGGUUGCUUAAGUUUGGUGUGAAAUCUCCCGGCUCAACUGGGAGGGUGCGCCGAAUACUGAGUGGAUCGAGUGCGGGAGAGGAGAGUGGAAACUCCUGGUGUAGCGGUGAAAUGCGUAGAUAUCAGGAGGAACACCGGCGGUGUAGACGGCUCUCUGGACCGUAACUGACGCUGAGACACGAAAGCGUGGGUAGCAAACAGGAUUAGAUACCCUGGUAGUCCACGCCCUAAACGAUGCAUAUUUGGUGUGGGUCAUUCAGUUGAUCCGUGCCGGAGCUA